rnacentral:rRNA from 1 species
GGGUUGUGAGGUUAAGCGACUAAGCGUACACGGUGGAUGCCCUGGCAGUCAGAGGCGAUGAAGGGCGUGCUAAUCUGCGAUAAGCGCCGGUAAGGUGAUAUGAACCGUUAUAACCGGCGAUACCCGAAUGGGGAAACCCAGUGUGAUUCGUCACACUAUCAUUAACUGAAUCCAUAGGUUAAUGAGGCGAACCGGGGGAACUGAAACAUCUAAGUACCCCGAGGAAAAGAAAUCAACCGAGAUUCCCCCAGUAGCGGCGAGCGAACGGGGAGGAGCCCAGAGCCUGAAUCAGCAUGUGUGUUAGUGGAAGCGUCUGGAAAGGCGCGCGAUACAGGGUGACAGCCCCGUACACAAAAGCGCAUGUGCUGUGAGCUCGAUGAGUAGGGCGGGACACGUGGUAUCCUGUCUGAAUAUGGGGGGACCAUCCUCCAAGGCUAAAUACUCCUGACUGACCGAUAGUGAACCAGUACCGUGAGGGAAAGGCGAAAAGAACCCCGGCGAGGGGAGUGAAAAAGAACCUGAAACCGUGUACGUACAAGCAGUGGGAGCACCCUUCGGGGUGUGACUGCGUACCUUUUGUAUAAUGGGUCAGCGACUUAUAUUCUGUAGCAAGGUUAACCGUAUAGGGGAGCCGGAGGGAAACCGAGUCUUAAUUGGGCGUUAAGUUGCAGGGUAUAGACCCGAAACCCGGUGAUCUAG